CAGCCGCCACGGGAAUACGUAGGGUGCAAGCGUUAAUUGGAAUUACUGGGCGUAAAGCGUGCGCAGGCGGUUAUAUAAGACAGAUGUGAAAUCCCCGGGCUCAACCUGGGAACUGCAUUUGUGACUGUAUAGCUAGAGUACGGCAGAGGGGGAUGGAAUUCCGCGUGUAGCAGUGAAAUGCGUAGAUAUGCGGAGGAACACCGAUGGCGAAGGCAAUCCCCUGGGCCUGUACUGACGCUCAUGCACGAAAGCGUGGGGAGCAAACAGGAUUAGAUACCCGAGUAGUCCCUGUCUCUUAUAA
rnacentral:rRNA from 1 species